rnacentral:rRNA from 1 species
GUAGGGGCCAAGCGUUGUCCGGAAUUAUUGGGCGUAAAGAGCUCGUAGGCGGUUUGGUAAGUCGGAUGUGAAAUCUCCGCGCUCAACGCGGAGCGGCCAUUCGGAACUGCCAUGACUUGAGUCCGGCAGGGGAGUGUGGAAUUCCCGGUGUAGCGGUGAAAUGCGCAGAUAUCGGGAGGAACACCCGUAGCGAAGGCGGCACUCUGGGCCGGUACUGACGCUGAGGAGCGAAAGCAUGGGGAGCGAACAGGAUUAGAUACCCUGGUAGUCCAUGCCGUAAACGUUGGGCACUAGGUGUGGGACCCCUAUCGACGGGUUCCCGUGCCGUAGCUAACGCAUUAAGUGCCCCCGCCUGGGGAGUACGGCCGCAAGGCUA